UAUUAUUUUAGAUGUAAAUUAUGUAAACUUGAGUAGUAUUAGUUAAGAUCUUGAAACUUAAAGAAUUUGGCGGUAUUUUAGUCUAUUUAGAGGAAUCUGUCCCGUGAUCGAUAGUCCACGUUGGACCUUACUUGAUUUGUUAAUAUGUAUACCGCCGUUGUUGAAAAUCUUUUUAGGGUAUAUAAUUUUUUUAAUAUUUAUUAAAUAAUUUUUCAGGUCAAGGUGCAGUUUAUAAUUAAGUGGAGAUGGAUUACAAUAUUUUAAGGUAUAUGGAUUUUUGUUUUUAAUUUAGCGAUAUGAAGGUGGAUUUAAUAGUAAUGUUAUGAAGACUGUUAAUGUGAUUAUAGCUCUAGAAUAUGUACACAUCGCCCG
rnacentral:rRNA from 1 species